rnacentral:tRNA from 1 species
CGGCGAAGUGAGAGCGGCGGUUUCUUUUCGCUCAACCCCUGGAUAGCGACCUCCGCGUAGUCCGUAGGUCUGAACUCCAAGAAUUGUGCAAAAGUUCCGGCGACAAACUUGUAAAACUGGAAGUCGUCCCUGGGUGGGCUCGAACCACCAACCUUUCGGUUAACAGCCGAACGCGCUAACCGAUUGCGCCACAGAGACUUCGAUGCCGUUACCGUCUCCAACUAUAGCUUUUAUGGAGAAUUAUAAAGGCAGCAUAUUGAAAAACUAUAAAACAGCAAGAGCGAGCAGAAUUUCAGAUUGCAACGUGUGUUAAAAUACCGUCGUUUCUUUCCAACUCCCGUUUGGAACGUUCUGUUUCAGGAAGAUGACUAUUUCUGAUGUUUCCUUCUAUAGGGAAACAAAAAUUUUAAUCUUGUGAGUUGAGAACUUUUCCUUUUGUUUCAAACUCUUUGUCCAGUGUUUUGUUCGCUAAUCUUCAUGAUUUACUGCUGUAGCAUUCACAAGGUCAUCUGAAUUGUCUUUAUUUGCCUUCUUUAUUUUUAUUUUCAGGUAUUAUUAAAUACAUAUAUGUAAUCCCUAUUUGUUUGCCACGUACUAACCGAUAGUACAAUUAUCUGUCGUUAACAUUUUGUUACUGGAAAAGAGCACUAGGAAAAAGCUACAGUAACACUAUUAGUCCCGUGCAUUCUAGUUCAUUGCUGAAUCGCCCUUCGUUCUCCCUAGAUGUAGCCUAUACGCGCACACAUUUGAGCCGUGCGCCUUGAAAGGCACGUUUCGCAAGGUAUUUAUAACCCAAUUUGAGGAAAGAGAAGUUAAAGAAGAAAAAAGUAUGAUUUAUGACUAACUCCUGAAAAUCCCUAGCGCAGAAACCCUGUUGGCAAACUUGCUACAUCUCUAUAUAUACUCUAAAUGAACAUUUUUCCUUUUGUGUGAAUAUUUCCAGAUGCCUUUCGAGGUACUCUUCAAAGCUCUAAACACUCUUUUUUUCCCCCUUCUCUCCUCAAAUAACUCCUAGUUUUCACUUGACAACUCUGUAUUUAAAUGUUUAGCAGUUACUGUAUUGCUCUGUCCAGAAUCCCUCGAGAAAGAAUUCGUUUCAUGAUUUAUAGAAGUUGUACGCGACACGCCUCAGUCCAGUCAACAUUUUGAGUUCCUGUGGUUUGAUAAGACAAUUUAAAUUGGCUUUGGAACCAAUUAGCAGAAUUCUUUGAAAGCUCUGGGAUAUUAAACAGCUGUCAAUUCACACCAAGCUGUACCACUCCUCUUUCAACAAACUUUUAGGAGUGCGCUUGAAAAUUCUGAAUUUGAUAAAA